ensembl:lncRNA
CAGCAGAGCUUGUGUUGUUUGUCGGCCUGACUGCAUCGCCGCCUCACUGACUGAUGAACUCACCCGCUGGCUGCGUGUCCGCGUCGGGGGGAGGGGGCUGAGCGUUGUGGGGCGUGAGAUUAGCCCCGAGCUUCACCGCAGGUCCGAAAUGAACCAGCGGACUCACUUUGUGCGCAGCUGCGGGAUCCCUGAGGCGUGUUGUGAAGCGUGAUAUUAAACCCUGAACUCCACAAUGGGAGGCCGCAGAGUCCUGAACGCCGUGGGCGGCGAUCGACAGCUUCCCUCGCCUGGAACAAAACGCUGCCGGGAGAGAGAAGCCGCCUCAAUGGUGUGAAAUGAUGAAGAGGGGGUGGGGGGGGGGGUUUGGCGGACUCGCCUCGGCUAUUAGCGCGGAGUGACUGACCGCAGAUCGGUGGACGACAUGAUGACACAUUUCAAAGUUCGGGUUGACUUCACAGUCACGCCAGAGAGUGCCAAGAAAGCGAGAAGUGGAGCGGCCCGGUGGAACCGGACCAACGCUCCCGUUGGUCCUCGCUGGAUUGGUUCUCGGACAAAUACGAUACGAAGGGUGAAGCUCAGCCGGCGCCGCAGCAGGUGCACACAAACCGACGGCCUUUGGGGAUUGACUUGGUUUGGGCUUCUGCCUCAUCAUCGACGGCUUGAAUUCUCAACAGCGAAUUUCUGCGGCUUGGUUCAACAAACGCGUAGAGACCAGUUUUCUGAACGUCAAGCAGCCUCUUCGUUCAAAGGAAGCUGUGAUGAAGAGGAGUUCGGGAUGCUUCAGUUCCUGCUAUUGAAACCGGGGUUUUGGUCUAGGUCUGCUACCCAUUCACCAACCUCCUGCCGACAGCACAGGGGUAAACCGUCUCUCUGCUGUGAGCGUCUACUGCUGACCACCGAGACGGAGACAGUACUACAGAGGGGUGAGAUGCCAGCGGGAGUUGUUGCAUUCACCAGCAAAUCUUUGACCCGCCGAUUCCGCAACAGGGGAGGCCAAUUUCAUGCAGCAGUCGGCUUCUAUUACGAAAAACCUGAAGCAUCAGUUCCAACAGGCACAAAGGAAGAAGUGCGCCUUCGGGGCCCGUCCGCCUGAACGGGUUCUUUUCAAGACAAAACAGGAUCUUUUCCUAAACGCUAAACAGUUUUUCUGCCGAAAAAAAAGCCCCCCGAAGGCAAACUCCUCCCUCGCGCUUCCAACAACAGGACGAGACGCCUGCUGGCGGCAUCGAAGCGACGAGGAGAAGCCGGUGCGAUCAGUGGAAAUCUCACCGGAGCCCACUUGGUUCCUGCAGCACAAAAACAGACACGACUCGUUGCAUAGUUACAUUUAUCUCCAUCAGAGGUCAGUGAACUCGUCAAUGCAAAGGUUGGACACGGCUUAGCAGAACUGUACAGUAAACGUGGCAACGUCCUUAAAGGAGGAACAUGAGACAUCGUCCACACCGGAGCAUUUUUUACCUCGUGUCGAAGGUCAGACGCGAUCUACACUGACAGCAAUGUCAGUCUAAAUCUAAGCUGCUCAUUUCCCAUCACCAAAGGUCAAGCAAUCAUACGACCAUUCAGCGUGUUCAUGGGGGAGCUGGAAGGUUUCUCAGAGCGCUCGCCACCAACACGCCACCAACCUUCUGCGGGUUCAGCGUCGUAAACAUCUGACCCGCACGGCUCUAUUUGGAUUCGUGACUUUCUCUCCAAGCUGAAUAUUAGGAAGAACCGAUGGGCUCUGCUGUGAGGAGCUUCUUCUCAGUGACUGGACACGUGCUUGUUUAGUCCAGGAGGGUUUGAGGUGCAUUCUGGGAGCCGACCCGCUGAGUGCGAAAGGAUUAAUGGAGACGCUAAUGACUCUCCUGAAUCAGGCUGGAGCUGUUUGUGCUUCAGUGGCUGCAGGUUCAGAGGGUUAGUGGAUCGUUUCUCCUUCAGGGCCAGGAGGGAAAAUCAUGGCAAUCCGAGUUUUCUUCGUUUGUCUCUGAAGGAGCAAUGUGCAAACUCAUUUAAAUUCUCCUCGGAGCUUUAAAACAGCAGCCAUGAUUCAGCAGGUCCGUCAGUUACGGUUAUUUAGGUUCUGUCAAGACUCAUUUUAUGCUCAAAAUUACCUUUUUGUCACAGUAGAAAUAAGACCUUAAUGUCCUGACUCGAUAAAUGAGAAGAAAAACUAAAUCUCACACUGCGACGGUCAUUAUUUGGAUAUUUAUUCCUUCUGUUUAGUCUUGUUCCAUAACUGUUCUGAUCCCUGCAGUCUUCAGCUCACCUGCUCUCCUCCACCCAGCUGGUUCCUCCUCCCUCUUUAGCUCAGUCGUGAAUAAAUAGCGGUUCAUUUGUUAGUGUUUUUGUGCCUUAGUUUUCCAGAAUCUCAUUUGUGAUGAAAUCAUCGCUGUUUAGAGUAAUUCAAAGUCGAUUUAGAUAAUAUAUAGAUGGAAUAAACUAUACUAACCCAAAAAAGCUAUAAAGGAUUCUCUUUCUAUACAACCAGUGUCUCUGUUAAUCUGAAUAAUUCCCAUUACAAAGUCCACAGUUUGACUGGAAACCCUUCUGAAGAAAUGUUCCAUAUGAAUAAAGAGUAAAUGAACCGUGUGUGGAUGUCGACCUGUAAAACUGCACCC